rnacentral:rRNA from 1 species
AGUGAACGCUGGCGGUAGGCCUAACACAUGCAAGUCGAACGGCAGCACAGUAAGAGCUUGCUCUUACGGGUGGCGAGUGGCGGACGGGUGAGGAAUACAUCGGAAUCUACUUUUUCGUGGGGGAUAACGUAGGGAAACUUACGCUAAUACCGCAUACGACCUACGGGUGAAAGCAGGGGAUCUUCGGACCUUGCGCGAUUGAAUGAGCCGGUGUCGGAUUAGCUAGUUGGCGGGGUAAAGGCCCACCAAGGCGACGAUCCGUAGCUGGUCUGGGAGGAUGAUCAGCGACACUGGGAGUGGGCCACGGUCCAGAGUCCUACGGGAGGCAGAGGUGGGGAAUAUUGGACGAUGGGCGCAAGCCUGAUCCAGCCAUACCGCGUGGGUGAAGAAGGGCUUCGGGUUGUAAAGCCCUUUUGUUGGGAAAGAAAAGCAGCAGGUUAAUACCCCGCUGUUCUGACGGUACCCAAAGAAUAAGCACCGGCUAACUUCGUG